UACGUAGGUGACAAGCGUUGUCCGGAUUUACUGGGCGUAAAGAGCGCGCAGGCGGUCGUUCAAGUCGAGUGUGAAAGCCCCCGGCUCAACUGGGGAGGGUCAUUCGAUACUGAUCGACUCGAAGGCAGGAGAGGGUAGUGGAAUUCCCGGUGUAGUGGUGAUAUGCGUAGAUAUCGGGAGGAACACCAGUGGCGAAGGCGGCUUUCUGGGCCUUACCUGACGCUGAGACGCGAAAGCGUGGGGAGCGAACCGG
rnacentral:rRNA from 1 species